CCGUGAUCGGCGGCGGCCACCACGGCGCCCAUCGGCAUCAUGAACGCGUUGCCGCCGCCGCCGCCGCCGUUGCCGUAGACGGCCGAGCUUGACGCCGGCUGCUGGAAGAAGUUGUGGGUGGCGGCGGCGCCGCCGCUCCCGAGGUGCAGGUGCUGGAGGUCCGUCGCGCAGUGCCCGGCCGCGAUCACCGCGUCCUGCUCCGGCUUGCACCACCCGCUGGCCUGGCCGUACGACGGGUAGUGCACGGCGAGCGGCGCCGGCUGCUGGCCGCCGCCGCCGAACGCGAUGGUCGGGCCGCACCCGUAGUAGUACCCACCCACACCGCCGUCGGCCAGGUGGGAGACGAUCACGCCGCCGCCCGCGGCGGCGGCGGCGACCUCCGCCUCCUUGAGCCGCCGCGCCGCGCCGCCGACCGGCAGCGUGCUGCUGUCCAGGAUGCUCUUGACGUCGUACCGGCUCAUGUCGAAGUUGGUGACGGCGUUGAGCCCGCGGAACUUGAUGGCGGCGAUGUCGUACGCCUCGGCGGCCUCCUCCUCGGUGCCUGCAC
rnacentral:sRNA from 1 species